rnacentral:rRNA from 1 species
UACGUAGGAGGCGAGCGUUGUCCGGAAUUACUGGGCGUAAAGGGUGCGCAGGCGGCCAAGUGUGUUAGGCGUGAAAGCCCGGGGCUUAACCCCGGAAUUGCACCUAAAACUACAUGGCUGAGAGCAUUGGAGAGGGUAGCGAAUUCGACGGUGUAGCAGUGAAAUGCGUAGAUAUCGUGAGGAACACCAGAGGCGAAGGCGGCUACCUGGACAAUUGCUGACGCUCAGGCACGAAAGCGUGGGGAGCAAAAGGG